UACAGAGGUGUCAAACGUUGUCCGGAAUUAUUGGGCGUAAAGGGCGCGUAGGCGGCCGGGUAAGUGAGAUGUGAAAGCUCUGGGCUCAACCCAGGAAUUGCAUUUCAUACUGUCCGGCUCGAGAUUGGUAGAGGAUGGCGGAAUUCCAGGUGUAGCGGUGAAAUGCGUAGAUAUCUGGAGGAACACCUGUGGCGAAGGCGGCUAUCUGGUCCAAUUCUGACGCUGAGGCGCGAAAGCUAGGGGAGCAAACGGG
rnacentral:rRNA from 1 species